rnacentral:rRNA from 1 species
CAGUAGCCGCGGUAAUACAGAGGGUGAGAGCGUUAAUCGGAUUUACUGGGCGUAAAGCGUGCGUAGGCGGCUUCUUAAGUCGGAUGUGAAAUCCCCGGGCUCAACCUGGGAACUGCAUUGGUGACUGCAACGCUGGAGUGCGGCAGAGGGGGAUGGAAUUCCGCGUGUAGCAGUGAAAUGCGUAGAUAUGCGGAGGAACACCGAUGGCGAAGGCAAUCCCCUGGGCCUGCACUGACGCUCAUGCACGAAAGCGUGGGGAGCAAACAGGAUUAGAUACCCCUGUAGUCCCUGUCUCUUAUAC